rnacentral:rRNA from 1 species
AAACCAACAGGGAUUGCCCUAGUAACGGCGAGUGAAGCGGCAACAGCUCAAAUUUGAAAGCUGGCCUUCGGGUCCGCAUUGUAAUUUGUAGAGGAUGCUUUGGGGCAGCCGCCUGUCUAAGUUCCUUGGAACAGGACGUCAUAGAGGGUGAGAAUCCCGUAUGUGACAGGACAUGGCACCCUAUGUAAAGCUCCUUCGACGAGUCGAGUUGUUUGGGAAUGCAGCUCUAAAUGGGAGGUAAAUUUCUUCUAAAGCUAAAUACCGGCGAGAGACCGAUAGCGCACAAGUAGAGUGAUCGAAAGAUGAAAAGCACUUUGGAAAGAGAGUUAAAAAGCACGUGAAAUUGUUGAAAGGGAAGCGCUUGCAAUCAGACUUGUUUUGACUGUUCGGCCGGUCUUCUGACCGGUUUACUCAGUCUGGACAGGCCAGCAUCAGUUUUGGCGGCCGGAUAAAGGCCUAGGGAAUGUGGCUCCCGCUUCGGUGGGAGUGUUAUAGCCCUGGGUGUAAUACGGCCAGCCGGGACUGAGGUCCGCGCUUCGGCUAGGAUGCUGGCGUAAUGGUUGUAAGCGACC